rnacentral:tRNA from 6 species
GGGCGGCUAGCUCAGCUGGUUAGAGCACUUCACUGAUAAUGAAGAGGUCGAUGGUUCAAAUCCAUCGCCGCCCACCA